ACAUUGCGCCGGGUUGAACGGGUAGUUUUGAUGGAGCUAAAUAUGAGAUUUAAAUCUUCAAUGUU
rnacentral:tRNA from 1 species